UAGAUUGGCUGAGUCUUCCAGCCUUCAUCUUUCUCCUGUACUGGAUCCUUCCUGCCCUCAAAUAUUAGACUGCAACUUCUUCUUUGGACUCUUGAUCUUACGCCAGUGGCUUACCAUGGGUUCUCAGGCCUUCAGCCACAGACUGAAGGCUGCAUUGUCAGUUUCCCUACUUUUGAGGUUCUGGACUCUAACUGGCUUCCUUGCUCCUCAGGGUGCAGGCGGCAUAUUGUAGGACUUCACCUUGUGAUCGGCUCAUCACAUGUGGAAUUACAUCAUUUGUGUAGAAGAACUUAAGAAAAUAAGGUCCUGGGGAAUGAAUCAGUGAACAAGACACCACCUUGUUCUUAAGCCACUUGUAGAACAGUUAUUGCCUAUGGUAAUCAAAGCUAAGACUGAACACAAGACCGAAGUGAUGACAACACCAUACCUCAUGGGACGCUACAGCUGAGAGAGCAGCCACAGAAAAUGAGAUGUGAAGGAGAUAAAAAUUCAAACACAGACAUAGAGGGAUUAGUAAAUACCAGGAGGUAGAUCAGGGAAUUCAAGUGAUUCUUACAGGAAUGGAGAACAUAGUGAUUGCACUGAAUUUAUCAGAAUUUCAAAAGUUAAGACAACAUGAGAUGACAUCUGUUCACAAUUAAAGUUAGUUUACUAGUUUACCCAAAUAGCUUUAAAGGUAAUAAUGUAACAUCGAUACACUUUUGUAUAGAACAAGUUAUUGAUCUUUUGUAUUAGAAACAAUAUCAAAUUUUUUUUCAGGAAGGUACAACUGUGACUCUAAGGUUUCUUUCAAUAGGUUCUACAAAUGACGUAUUUACUAAUUUUUAUAUACAUUUUAUGAUACAUUUCUCAUAAUUCCAUGUGACUUUAAGUACUUGCAAAGGAAGUUAAAAUUUUAAGUGCCCAGAAACAUGAGAACAGAACUCAAUAAUGUGGACUUUAAAAUUACUACUACAAAUAAUUAACCAAUAUUGAUUUAAUGCUUACAGUAUGCCAAGUUCUAAGUGAAGUGCUCUCUAAAUUAUCAGCUCAUUCUCUUCUCACUACACUCUUAUGUAGUCAUUAUCAUAAUUGCCCUCACUUAUAGAUAAAAUAGGCUUAAAGAAAUUAAGUAAACUAUCUACAUUUAUAAUACUGCAACAUGAGAGACCUGAGUUCUAAGACAGGUGCCGGUCUGUCACCACUAUCACUAUACUCGAUUUUUUUCCCCAUUCUAUAGGAUUAAGAUAGGCAUAAGGGGGAGAAUAUUCCAGGGAGAUUCAUUUUUGGGAUAAUGGAAAAUAUGCAUCAGUGAACCAAAACAUUAUAAAAUUAAUAAUUUAAUAUUUAUUUCAUCUCUGUAAAUAAAUAUUUCUGCAUUUCACAACAUGACAGAAUCAACUUUUGCUGAAAAUAGUAAGAUUUGGAUGAGUGAAACUUUAAUAUUCAUAGCAUAUAUAAAAUAUACUUUUUAGUCACCCACUGUGGUAUCAAAAUUUUAAACUUAUUGUAUAUUUCAAAAUAGUUAGAAAAGAAGAUUUGAAAUGUUCCCAACACAAAGAAAUGAUAAAUGUUUGAGGUGGUGUAUAGUCUAGUUAGCCUGAUUUGAUUAUUAUACAUUGUAUGCAUGUAUUAAAAUA
rnacentral:lncRNA from 1 species